UAAAACUUUCAACAAUGGAUCUCUUGGUUCCGGCAUCGAUGAAGAACGCAGCGAAAUGCGAUAACUAAUGUGAAUUGCAGAAUUCAGUGAAUCAUCGAGUCUUUGAACGCACAUU
rnacentral:rRNA from 1 species